rnacentral:rRNA from 1 species
UAGUCCACGCCGUAAACGAUGUCUACUAGCCGUUGGAACCCUUGAGGUUUUAGUGGCGCAGCUAACGCAUUAAGUAGACCGCCUGGGGAGUACGGUCGCAAGAUUAAAACUCAAAUGAAUUGACGGGGGCCCGCACAAGCGGUGGAGCAUGUGGUUUAAUUCGAAGCAACGCGAAGAACCUUACCAAGACUUGACAUCCUGAUAACUUACUAGAAAUAGUUUGGUGCCUUCGGGAAAUCAGUGACAGGUGCUGCAUGGCUGUCGUCAGCUCGUGCUGUGAGGUGUUCGGUUAAGUCCGGCAACGAGCGCAACCCCUAUCGUUAGUUACCAUCAUUUAGUUGGGCACUCUAGAGAAACUGCCGGUGACAAACCGGAGGAAGGUAAGGAUGACGUCAAGUCAGCAUGCCCCUUACGCUCUGGGCUACACACGUGCUACAAUGGUCGUGACAAAGAGUUGCUAGUCUGCGAAGGCAAGCCAAUCUCAUAAACGCGGCCUUAGUUCGGAUUG